rnacentral:lncRNA from 1 species
AUUUUUUUGAACUUAAUUCUUCAUUACUUCAGUUCAUGUUCCUUCUACAUUACAAAUUACCUCGAAUACUUAUCAGCAGUGCGAAUGAAAUGUGUACACACAACGAAUCUGACCUGACCCUUCCCAGCCAUGCGACCCCCAGGCCAGGACAAGCAAGAACAACAGCUAGACGAAGCAUGUCGUUCAUCCCCCGAUCGAGAUGAUGUGUAGGUUCAUUCCUUUGCAGUUUGGUUUGGCUGGUCCAACUCAGAGAACAAGCCACAAAAUGGAAUUGAGGCAGACAACCAAUCCAAAUAUCAGCAUCAGUAUGAAAAUCGCUACGGCAUAAGGCGAGAGCCUGCAUCUGCAUAUUUUCCAAAGACAAAGCUAUUUUGGGGGGUAACACAACCAACAGCCGCGGAGGAACGUGAAGACUAGAGCUGCUGGAGCAGGGGCCAUAGUCGGCUUGGCCAGAGGUUAUUUGUGUCGGACCCCAGUUGUAUAUGACACGUGAUCAUUGAGUUCCUGAUGACUCUCAAGCUCACGCAAUGUAAUCGCUGCUGUUCUUACAGGAUGCCUAUGCACCCGGAGCUGAAAUCCACUCUCUUUCUUGUUUUCUCAACAAUGAUGUUUUCCACAAUAUAACUUGCAGCCAUAUACGUGCGUAUAUAUGCACGCAUAGGACUCCCUACACCUAGUUACCUACACGGACUCGUACUCUACCAUCUGAUUACAACUUGCA